GUGGUGGUGGUGGUGGUAGCAGUGGUAGUGGUAGCGGUAGUGGUGGUAGUAGCAGUAGUAGUAGUAGUAGUAGUAGCAGUAGUAGUAGUAGUAGUAGUAGUAGUAGUAGUAGUAGUAGUAGUAGUAGCAGUAGCAGCAGCAGCAGUAGCAGCAGGAGCAGUAGCAGUGCAACCAUUUUUUUAAAAGAAAGUUACUACAAUGUAAUGUCUAAGCGUUACUCAUGUGAAUGCUCUCAUUAAAACACAACAAUACUUACUGAAACAUCUCCUAUUCUAAACUCCCUUUACCCAGUAGGUAUUAACUAGGGAAUGACCAGUAGGUAUUAACUAGGGAAUGACCAGUAGGUAUUAACUAGGGAACCUUUACCCAGUAGGUAUUAACUAGGGAAUGACCAGUAGGUUUUAACUAGGGAAUGACCAGUAGGUAUUAACUAAGGAAUGACCAGUAGGUAUUAACUAGGGAAUGACCAGUAGGUAUUAACUAGGGAAUGACUAGUAUGUAUGACAGGAAUAUGUUUCUACAGACACUGCCUUCUUUGUCAGCUGAGACUAAGAACAGCUAAGACUGCAGUAACAUGUUGAAUAGCUAAGGCUGCAGUAACAUGUUGAACAGCUAAGACUGCAGUAACAUGUUGAUCAACUA
rnacentral:lncRNA from 1 species